rnacentral:lncRNA from 1 species
CUUUCGGGCUGUUUUGGGGCGGUUUGGGGAUCCAUGCGGCUUACAUCGAGGAGGUGGAGGAUACAACAGUGCUGUGCUGCACGAGCAGCUUCCAUGCCCUCACGGUGAUGGUAGCGUUCCGCGGAGCUGGAGAAUCUGCAGGAUUUGUUCCAUUGCACGCUGUACCAGCAUGGCCAGUGCAUAGUACGGAGCCCAAAUGGAAGAGAACCACUAACAGCCUCACCUCCAACAACCAAACUUGCCCCCCAACCACCUCACCCCAUGGUCACUCCCUGAUGUCCCCCCCAGUGUCACUCCAACAAUACCACACCCCAGUAUCACACCCCAACAUGAUCCCAGCAUCCCCCCUCCAUCACCCCAACAUCAACCCUCAACAUCAUUCCC